rnacentral:lncRNA from 1 species
UUUCCUUUUUCGCCCAAAAGCCCACUCCUCUCUCCCUCUCGGCCUACUCCUCUUUCUCCCUCGUGCAGCCCAGCUGGAAGUGAGCUUUCCCUUCCCUCUCGGCCUUGGCCCAAGCCAGCCCAGCAAGGGAGCUUGCCUACCCACACGCACGUCCUCCUUCCCUUUUUCUUGGGCCAGAGCCAGCACUUUCACUCAGGCCGGCCCAACAGCACACAGAGGAU